rnacentral:rRNA from 1 species
GGUUAAGCGACUAAGCGUACACGGUGGAUGCCCUGGCAGUCAGAGGCGAUGAAGGACGUGCUAAUCUGCGAUAAGCGUCGGUAAGGUGAUAUGAACCGUUAUAACCGGCGAUUUCCGAAUGGGGAAACCCAGUGUGUUUCGACACACUAUCAUUAACUGAAUCCAUAGGUUAAUGAGGCGAACCGGGGGAACUGAAACAUCUAAGUACCCCGAGGAAAAGAAAUCAACCGAGAUUCCCCCAGUAGCGGCGAGCGAACGGGGAGGAGCCCAGAGCCUGAAUCAGUGUGUGUGUUAGUGGAAGCGUCUGGAAAGGCGCGCGAUACAGGGUGACAGCCCCGUACACAAAAAUGCACAUGCUGUGAGCUCGAUGAGUAGGGCGGGACACGUGGUAUCCUGUCUGAAUAUGGGGGACCAUCCUCCAAGGCUAAAUACUCCUGACUGACCGAUAGUGAACCAGUACCGUGAGGGAAAGGCGAAAAGAACCCCGGCGAGGGGAGUGAAAAAGAACCUGAAACCGUGUACGUACAAGCAGUGGGAGCACGCUUAGGCGUGUGACUGCGUACCUUUUGUAUAAUGGGUCAGCGACUUAUAUUCUGUAGCAAGGUUAACCGAAUAGGGGAGCCGAAGGGAAACCGAGUCUUAACUGGGCGUUAAGUUGCAGGGUAUAGACCCGAAACCCGGUGAUCUAGCCAUGGGCAGGUUGAAGGUUGGGUAACACUAACUGGAGGACCGAACCGACUAAUGUUGAAAAAUUAGCGGAUGACUUGUGGCUGGGGGUGAAAGGCCAAUCAAACCGGGAGAUAGCUGGUUCUCCCCGAAAGCUAUUUAGGUAGCGCCUCGUGAAUUCAUCUCCGGGGUAGAGCACUGUUUCGGCAAGGGGGUCAUCCCGACUUACCAACCCGAUGCAAACUGCGAAUACCGGAGAAUGUUAUCACGGGAGACACACGGCGGGUGCUAACGUCCGUCGUGAAGAGGGAAACAACCCAGACCGCCAGCUAAGGUCCCAAAGUCAUGGUUAAGUGGGAAACGAUGUGGGAAGGCCCAGACAGCCAGGAUGUUGGCUUAGAAGCAGCCAUCAUUUAAAGAAAGCGUAAUAGCUCACUGGUCGAGUCGGCCUGCGCGGAAGAUGUAACGGGGCUAAACCAUGCACCGAAGCUGCGGCAGCGACGCUUAUGCGUUGUUGGGUAGGGGAGCGUUCUGUAAGCCUGUGAAGGUGUGCUGUGAGGCAUGCUGGAGGUAUCAGAAGUGCGAAUGCUGACAUAAGUAACGAUAAAGCGGGUGAAAAGCCCGCUCGCCGGAAGACCAAGGGUUCCUGUCCAACGUUAAUCGGGGCAGGGUGAGUCGACCCCUAAGGCGAGGCCGAAAGGCGUAGUCGAUGGGAAACAGGUUAAUAUUCCUGUACUUGGUGUUACUGCGAAGGGGGGACGGAGAAGGCUAUGUUGGCCGGGCGACGGUUGUCCCGGUUUAAGCGUGUAGGCUGGUUUUCCAGGCAAAUCCGGAAAAUCAAGGCUGAGGCGUGAUGACGAGGCACUACGGUGCUGAAGCAACAAAUGCCCUGCUUCCAGGAAAAGCCUCUAAGCAUCAGGUAACAUCAAAUCGUACCCCAAACCGACACAGGUGGUCAGGUAGAGAAUACCAAGGCGCUUGAGAGAACUCGGGUGAAGGAACUAGGCAAAAUGGUGCCGUAACUUCGGGAGAAGGCACGCUGAUAUGUAGGUGAAGUCCCUCGCGGAUGGAGCUGAAAUCAGUCGAAGAUACCAGCUGGCUGCAACUGUUUAUUAAAAACACAGCACUGUGCAAACACGAAAGUGGACGUAUACGGUGUGACGCCUGCCCGGUGCCGGAAGGUUAAUUGAUGGGGUCAGCGCAAGCGAAGCUCUUGAUCGAAGCCCCGGUAAACGGCGGCCGUAACUAUAACGGUCCUAAGGUAGCGAAAUUCCUUGUCGGGUAAGUUCCGACCUGCACGAAUGGCGUAAUGAUGGCCAGGCUGUCUCCACCCGAGACUCAGUGAAAUUGAACUCGCUGUGAAGAUGCAGUGUACCCGCGGCAAGACGGAAAGACCCCGUGAACCUUUACUAUAGCUUGACACUGAACAUUGAGCCUUGAUGUGUAGGAUAGGUGGGAGGCUUAGAAGUGUGGACGCCAGUCUGCAUGGAGCCGACCUUGAAAUACCACCCUUUAAUGUUUGAUGUUCUAACGUUGACCCGUAAUCCGGGUUGCGGACAGUGUCUGGUGGGUAGUUUGACUGGGGCGGUCUCCUCCUAAAGAGUAACGGAGGAGCACGAAGGUUGGCUAAUCCUGGUCGGACAUCAGGAGGUUAGUGCAAUGGCAUAAGCCAGCUUGACUGCGAGCGUGACGGCGCGAGCAGGUGCGAAAGCAGGUCAUAGUGAUCCGGUGGUUCUGAAUGGAAGGGCCAUCGCUCAACGGAUAAAAGGUACUCCGGGGAUAACAGGCUGAUACCGCCCAAGAGUUCAUAUCGACGGCGGUGUUUGGCACCUCGAUGUCGGCUCAUCACAUCCUGGGGCUGAAGUAGGUCCCAAGGGUAUGGCUGUUCGCCAUUUAAAGUGGUACGCGAGCUGGGUUUAGAACGUCGUGAGACAGUUCGGUCCCUAUCUGCCGUGGGCGCUGGAGAACUGAGGGGGGCUGCUCCUAGUACGAGAGGACCGGAGUGGACGCAUCACUGGUGUUCGGGUUGUCAUGCCAAUGGCACUGCCCGGUAGCUAAAUGCGGAAGAGAUAAGUGCUGAAAGCAUCUAAGCACGAAACUUGCCCCGAGAUGAGUUCUCCCUGACCCUUUAAGGGUCCUGAAGGAACGUUGAAGACGACGACGUUGAUAGGCCGGGUGUGUAAGCGCAGCGAUGCGUUGAGCUAACCGGUACUAAUGAACCGUGAGGCUUAACCUU